UACGUAGGGGGCAAGCGUUGUCCGGAUUUACUGGGCGUAAAGAGCGUGUAGGCGGCCAAACAGGUCCGUUGUGAAAACUGGAGGCUCAACCUCCAGACGUCGACGGAAACCGUAUGGCUAGAGUCCGGAAGAGGAGAGUGGAAUUCCUGGUGUAGCGGUGAAAUGCGCAGAUAUCAGGAAGAACACCUAUGGCGAAAGCGGCUCUCUGGAACGGUACUGACGCUGAGACGCGAAAGCGUGGGGAGCGAACAGG
rnacentral:rRNA from 1 species